rnacentral:misc_RNA from 1 species
GUUAACUACUAAUGGUGAUUAGGUGACCUGGAAGAUGUACAUGUAUGUUGGUAAAUCAAUGCAUUGGCACAUUCUUAAGAAAGAGACAGUCAGACAGGGAGAGCAAUUUUGUAUUAUUAUACUAGUGAAACAACAGCAGAUGGCCACAAACAAAUAAGCGGUUAGCCUACAACCAACUAAUUUAUAAACUUCAUACUAUAAACAGGUUAUGGCAGGAGCAAGCUUAAGAACUAAAAGCACAAACAUAUCUACUUCCCUAGUUUUUGUUUCAGUCAUAAUGCAAAUGAGAUAAAUCCACUAAUUAAACUCAUCAGGAUCACCGAUCAAGCACAAGGGCACUCAUCAUGUCUUGCACAGGGUAUGCUCCAUUUGUAUCUUUUGGUAAAAUGUAAAGAGUAAAGAUCACUUGCCAUUCCUUCAAAAGUAUUUACCAUCUAUCAAAGGUAUUCACAUUUCUUUUCCACUUCCAAGGUCGUUGAAAGGAUUGGACACUACCUCCUUUCCCACUUCAUUCUCAGGUUUUUCAAGCAGGACACUAAUCACAGCAGUACUUCAAAAUGUGUGAAUAAGUGUUCUAGAAAUCCUUAUUUAUGAGAUCAAUCAUUGCAGUGCCUCAGCCAAGUUGAUAGGACAUGGCAAUGCAGGUUGCUGGCAGUUGUUUAAAAGAGCAACCUUGCCAUUCAUAACAUUACUAGGUUGAUUUGUUGAGUCCAUACCACUUAUGGAUGUUAGUUGUAGAAGCUGGACAAGAGACCAUAAUAUGUCUAUCCUCGUUAUGUGCGUGUUUGCCUCAACAAUGAAGUGUGCCCAUAUCUUAUCCUCUCGAGUUUCCAUCAGUCCCUUCAAUAUAUUCAAUCCAAAUCCCCUAAUUACAUCAGCUAUCUCAAGAAAGAAUCCUCGAUCCUCACAAAGCAUCUCAAUAAGCAUCAGGCCAGGUGUACUGAGAUCUUCGACUAUAAUAGGGCAAACCAUUGAUUGAUCUCCCACUUCCAGUGCCCAUGUGGCACCACCACCACUUGUGCUGUUGUCUUUCAAAACCAUUUUAUUCUCCUCACCAAUGAGCUUUGGCUCAUCAGCUUGUUUAAGCUUGUCUGCAUAUUUUGUCACACCUUGCAAGAAAAGCAUGUACUUGAUGGUACGAUCCAACAAUGCAUCAAUGCUACACUUUCCACCAUCAGGGAUGAUUCCUUUCAACUCUUUGAUGCGGUCCUGGAUCUGUUGACGGUCUUUUGGCCUUGGUCUAAUACUUUCCCCAGGUCUGGCUCGUUUCUUGGUUGCCUUUGUAGGCUCCUCAAGCUUCUUAGAUUUUGCUAGAACAGCACCUCCAUUGUUGAUGCUAUAGCUAUCAUCAAUCCAUAAGCCUGCCUGUGAUUUUGGGGACACCUCUUUUUUUGAAAGAAGAUUGUUUGUCGUGCCCUUACAAUAUGUAGGCUGCAUAGCCAUGCUGCCACCAGAGCAAGAAACGCUUCCUGACUGAACAUGAUUGAAAGAUGAAGUUUCCAAUCUUCUUCUCUUGGCAGUGGAAAGCUGAUCGUCACUUCUAGAGUUGGUAAUGCGAUUAGAAUUAUGAGCUCCACUUAUAAGCUCUUCAAGACCUAAUUCGGAGAAUAAUCCUUUUCGGUGGCCAACUCCAGGAUUAACAUCCAACUCUGAGACGCAUUCUGAAACACCAGUACUAACAGCUAAGUGACCACUACUCACAACAAGCUUUAUUGCAUUUUCUUGGCAAUCCCCAGAUUGUCCACACCCAUAUUCUAGUCCCAAACCAUUAAACAUAUCAGCGCCAGCAUCAUUCAGAAAUACAGGUUUCUGUUGUCCAUCACAAAUAAAUGCAUCAGUGAUGGAACUUUGCACUGAAUUAGUUGGUUGUGUGAAUGGAAUGUCAAGUAAAACAUCUCCAACCAAACUGGAUGACACUGAAGUAAUUCCUGCUGAUUGUAAGAGAUUUUCAUUCAUUGCGAUGUCGUGCCCUGAUGGAGACAAAAACCACUCAAAAAGAUUAUCCACUGCAAAGGAGUUAGACAGAUUUGUUGCAAAAUCAUCUAGCUUAAACUCUUCUGCAAAUUUCUGUAGGCUAGUUUCUCUUUCCAGAGAUCCACCUUUUUUAGCAUGAUAUGAUGAAGCAGAAUGACAGUUGCUCAUUGAUCUUGCAGAAUUUUGUUGAAUAGUUUUUUCUACAUUAAUCAAUCCCCCUCUGCUAUACAAUGAACUAACAGUCAAGUCCCUUUGAAAAUCCUGCUUUGAAUGCCCACAGAACACCGGAAUAUUUUCUUUUCUAGAAGAAACAUUUAGAGAAUCCUGGACUCUCAUUUCAGAUGGUAACUGUGACUCUAGUGAAGUCAAUAUAGAACCUUCACUACUCCAAGUACUAAUGCAAGGGGUUUUUGCAGCUGACUUCUCAACAGAAAAGGCAUAUUGUGAAGACAAAUGUUGUGAAGACAAAUGCUGGAACUGAGUAUCAGGAUUGCUGGAUAAUAUCAUUUGAGCUUCGGUGCCAACAGUCUGCAAUUGACUACUAAGAUUAGAUGAGUCCAAACAUAAUGGGUUCAUCUUCUCUUGUUGAAAAUCUGAAGUGGGACCAGAGGACUGAGUAAGAUUUAUUGAGGCAGUAUGAGCUAUUUCCAUCAGUUCAUCGCAGCUGCCACCAUGCAAGGGUGUGAUAUUACCAUUGCAGAAAGAAGUAAACCACUCAUUUAGAUCGCAAUUUUCAUAGUUCAAAGAUGAAGUUGGGUUUUCUGGUGAUGUGAGGCCAUUAAUAUUUCCCACCUCAUUGAACAAUCUUUUUAUUCGAAUUAUAAAUUCUGGCGUCUCCAAAAUCUUCUGGGUUGAUCCAAAUUGUAUCACUCCUUGUGAUUCCACAGGAAUUACAGCAAUUGUCUUUAGUCCAGAGGAAAAUUGGCAAUUAACCUCAGAAUCAUCCUCGUGUAUAUCUUUAAUUCCAGAAGAACCAGCAGAAUUCCGUCCUCCAUUGCUGUUAUCUGAGAAAAUCCAUUGGCACUUCCCAGACAUGGCAGCUUGGCCAACAAUUCCUUCGCCUAUCAUGUGGACCUGUAGAAGCAUAUUGUUAACUACCGCCUCCAUUUCUUCUUCACAGUGUGCAUCUUCAAUAGUCAACAACAUGGAAUUUCUUUGAUCAAAGCGCCAAAAAACCCCAUAAGACCACCCAUUACUGCAACAAAUACCCUUAAGCGUGUCCUUCAACACCGAACCCAUUUGAGUUUCACUUCACGAUCCCAAGCUCAUCACUCAGCACCCCAUUUCCCAGUCUGAGUGAACCAGCUCAAAUGUUGUCUCAAAGUAAAAUGCCUUCUGGCAAAAAAAACACUGAAACAAAACUGAGAAAGAAGCAAGCACUUUGAAGGGUUUCAACUCAGGAGCACCAAAGAAAGGUGUUCUUGCAAAACAGAAUGUUUUCUUGAAAGAGAAUAUAUGGAAACAGAGAGUGGUCGUCCAUGCUAAUAUGCGCCCACUCCGUCACAAAUUUU